AUAACGUAAAACUAUACAGUGUAUUCUCUUUUGUAUUUGUUUUUCCUACUUAUCAAUUUGUUUCUGAGAAUUUAGGUGGGGCGGAUUGUUACAUGUAGCGAUAGUAUGGUCUUUUGUUGCCAUCUAAUGUAUAUGGCUUUAGAAAUGGUGCUGGCAUCAAAUUUGAUACAUGAUUUUUAGUGAACAUGUGCUACAUUUAGGCCUGUAGGCUACUUGCUAUACCCAAGGUUAUGCAUAUCGUAAAAAUAGGAAAUUGAUUUUGUUGCACUAUCCAGAAUACACUAUCCAGAAAUAAUUUAAGUUUCUUAAUUCUAUCAUGUGUUGCAAAUUCUUUUGAAUUUUUUAUAGGUGAUCAUAUCAUAUCAUAUCAUAUCAUAUCAUAUCAUAUCAUAUGCAGAUAACAUCUGGGUUGCUUUCCAGGCCUUGUAGCUGUGGCUUUUUUUCCCUUGUUGCACUAGCUGGAUAGAUCCCAUCACAGUGGACUGAGGACGGGAAGUCUCUGUAGGUCCCUGUGUCACGUUGGUGACCUUACCCAAAACGUACUCACUAUCGUCAUCAGACACACAGUGUUGACAGGGUAUGUUGAAGACUCCUUUGUCCAGUGCAAACAUUAUUUUUAUUUUCUCAUUUUUUUUAUUGAUUUCCUAACUCUUGGAUAGAUGUCAAAUUAUUUUUCUGUACUCAUUGUGAUAUUUAUAUAUACACACACACUACUAUAUAUAUAUAUAUAUAUAUAUAUAUAUUUCCCUUUAGUGCGAUGAUUUUCAUCAGUUGAUUUGUCAGUGUUAACUCUAUAAGUCUGCGAACGUUGAUGAGAUUGGUUUGAUGAUAAUUCUUAGGGUUUUAUGUCUGUGUUCGGGAGUGUAGUUCAGUUCUACAUAGUUCUCUUUUCUGAAACACUUCUUAUUUUAUGUUUAUGAGUGUUUUGUCUGCAUGUAAGUCUAUGUAAUGUGUGCAUGCCUAGUGCUUCGACAUGCCGAGGCCAGAAGAAGGCAUUGGAUGCCCUGGAACUGGAGUUGCAUGUGGUCAUGGGUUAUAGGAAUUAAACCUGCGUCCUCUGGAAGAGCAGCCAGAGCUCUUAACUCAUGAGCCGUCUCUCUAGGACCUAGCUCUUGUUUCUUACCAAGAUUUGAUAGCACUGCUUUGUUUUGUUUUGUUUAAACCCUCUAGAAUAAGAUAGAGCCCUCUCUUCUGUUGUUAAAAGGUUUUAUUCCUCAGAGUACCUCUGGAGGAUCCCCAUCCUAAAAGUGACUCGACUCCAUUUCCUCUGUGUUAAGAUUAUUUCGCCACACUCUUCUCGAUUCCGUUUUGGCAAUUCAUGACCAUUGAGACCUUUUAGUUGGCAUACAGAAUAAUUUGUUGGACUGUGGUAUGCUUGUAUGUGGUGUGUGUGUGUGUGUAUCCAUGGGUGUGCUUGCGCAGGCUCAUGUGCCCUGUUUGCUUUGGUCCCUCCCUCCUAUCCUCUCACCCCCGCCCCCUACUGGCCCUGUAAAAAGAAAAGACAGCGAGCCAUUCUUCCCCUCUUCUUUCAUAUUUCUUUUAUUCUUAAAUCUCAGUUUUGCUUAUGGGAGAAGCCACAUGACCGUCUUUUUGAGGCUGGCUACCUUCACUUCACGUGAUGGUGUGUUUAGUUUUAUCCAUUUUCCUGCCAAGAACAUGAUUUCAUUCUUCGCAGCAGUAUGAAACUCCCCUGUAUUCUUGUACCAGAUUCCCUUUCUGAGUUUGGACAUUUGAGGAUAUAAUGAAUGUGUAUCAUGUUUGCUACUGUAUUAAAUAUUUAUGAUACCAAAAUUUAUUUUCAUUCCUAAAAUAUCACUUGUAUGUUUGCUUGCUUCC
rnacentral:lncRNA from 1 species